AUUGAACGCUGGCGGCAUGCCUUACACAUGCAAGUCGAACGGUAACAGGUCUUCGGAUGCUGACGAGUGGCGAACGGGUGAGUAAUACAUCGGAACGUGCCUAGUAGUGGGGGAUAACUACUCGAAAGAGUGGCUAAUACCGCAUGAGAUCUACGGAUGAAAGCAGGGGAUCGCAAGACCUUGUGCUACUAGCGCGGCCGAUGGCAGAUUAGGUAGUUGGUGGGAUAAAAGCUUACCAAGCCGACGAUCUGUAGCCGGUCUGAGAGGACGAUCAGCCACACUGGGACUGAGACACGGCCCAGACUCCUACGGGAGGCAGCAGUGGGGAAUUUUGGACAAUGGGCGCAAGCCUGAUCCAGCAAUGCCGCGUGCAGGAUGAAGGCCUUCGGGUUGUAAACUGCUUUUGUACGGAACGAAAAGCCCUGGGUUAAUACCCUGGGGUCAUGACGGUACCGUAAGAAUAAGCACCGGCUAACUACGUGCCAGCAGCCGCCGUAAUAC
rnacentral:rRNA from 1 species